rnacentral:rRNA from 1 species
GCGAGACUGCAAGGUUUAGCCAAUCCCAUAAAUCUGUUCUCAGUUUGGAUCGCAGUCUGCAACUCGACUGCGUGAAGCUUGAAUCGCUAGUAAUCGCGGAUCAGCAUGCCGCGGUGAAUACGUUCCCGGGCCUUGUACACACCGCCCGUCACACCACGAGAGUUUGCAACACCCGAAGUCGGUGAGGUAACCUUUAUGGAGCCAGCCGCCGAAGGUGGGGCAGAUGAUUGGGGUGAAGUCGUAACAA